rnacentral:misc_RNA from 1 species
UCGAAUCUUACCAAAUUGUAUAAUACACUGAAUAUAAUCAAAUAAAUCAAUCACAAAAAAACACUUGGGUCAAUCAAUAUAUCGUCCAAAUUAUUAUCAUCAACCUGUUGCAUCAAUAUUACGUUUCCAGGUAGCGGAAGAAAGAGUAUCGGUGGACGUGAUUCUCGUACCUGAUGAAGUACCGAUUCUGAGAGAGCGCCUGAACCGGAAGUGGCUGUAGACGGACCCAAUUACCUCGGCCCGAGGUUCAAGAGCGUACCGUUACGAGAAGCGUACGUAUGUUGGUGGAAUCGAGACGCUUCGAGCGGUUGGCGAGAAGGAAACAUGUAUCGCGACGCCCAAGGCGUUGUGAAGAAGAUUCGCGUUAUCCAGAAGCAUUGUCGGUGCAUUUCACGUGCGUGCUCCAACCAGAUAUCGCGGAACUUUAUGACAGCUGUCAAUAAUCAAGCAACAUGG